UCUGGUUGAUCCUGCCAGUAGUCAUAUACUUUUCUUAAAGAUUAAGCCAUGUAUGUCUCAGUUCUUUGAUUGGUAAACAAUAGAUUGCGAAUGGUUCAGUAUAACAGUUACGAUAUGAUUGAAAUUUAUUUUAUGUGGAUUACUGUGGGAAAUCUUCAGCUAAUACUUGAUACACAGUAUAUAUAAAUAAAGAAAGGAUAUGUAUAUAGCUGUUAUUUAUUAUUAAAUUAUAAUGUUCCUACAUUAUUGUGGAUUCUUAAUAAUUACGUACAGAUUACUUUACAAGUAGCAAUUCAUUUAAGUUUCUGACCUAUCAGUUAAUUGGUUGCAUCUUGAGCAAUUGAGGCAUUAACGGGUAACAGGGAAUUAGAGUUCUAUUCCGGAGAGGGAGUCUGAGAUAUAGCUACCACAUCUAAGGAAGGCAGCAGGCGCGUAAAUUACCCAAUUACGAUUAGUAGAGGUAAUGACAAGAAAUCACAAUAUUAUGCCUUAAGGCUAUAAUUGUAUUGACAAAAAUAUAAAUAUUAUAUCUAUAAGCUAGUGGAGGGCAAGUCUGGUGCCAGCAGCCGCGGUAAUUCCAGCUCCGAUAGUUUAUGCUAACAAUGUUGCAAUUAAAACGCUCAUAGUCAAACUUUUCAGUUAGUCAAUUUUGUGUAGUUCUAGAGAAUUACAAAUAAGUCGUUUUAUAUUGACAUAUAACUUAUUUUAUUGACAUUCAUUUUUCGAUAGUGAUUUAAGUUUGUUUUACUUUGAAAAAAUAACAGUGUUCCAAACAGUCGUUUAUUAUUAUUACAAAUUAUGGAAUGAUAAGUAAUGAUGUUAACUAAAUUUGAAUGGUUUGAGAUGUUGGUGUAAUGAUAUUUGGAGUGUUUCGGGGGGAUUAGUAUUUUGUCGUUAGAAGUGAAAUUCUUGGAUUGAGAAAAGACUAACAACAGCAAAAGCAUUGAUCUAGAAGCUAUUCCUUGAUCAAGAACGUAAGUUGCGGGAUCGAAGACGAUCAGAUACCGUCGUAGUCUCAACUAUAAACAAUAUCAAUUAGGAUUUAGCGAAUGUUUAUAUAAUAUUGUUUGAACCUUAAGAGAAAUCAAAGUGUUUGGUUUCUGGGGGGAGUAUGGUUGCAAGGCUGAAACUUAAAGGAAUUGACGGAAGGGCACCACAAGAUGUGUAUUCUGUGGCUUAAUUUGACUCAACACAGGAAAUCUUAUCAGGUCCAGACAUAAGAAUUAUUGACAGAUUGACAGCUCUUUCUUAAUUCUGCGGAUUGUGGUGCAUGGCCGUUCUUAGUUGGUGGAGUGAUUUGUCUGGUUAAUUCUGCUAACGAACGAGACGAUCGACUGUUAAUUCGCGUAAAAACUGAUUUCAUGAUUUUGCUUCUUUUAGAAACUAGAUUUGCAUAAAAAGCUGGAAGUUGGUAGCAAUAACAGGUCUGUGAUGCCCUUAGACGUUCUGGGUAGCGCACGGGCUACAAUAGGAGAAUUACUAUGCUUAAUAUCUUAAUUCGAGAUGAGCUGAGAAAUCAUGAAACUUAUCUAUAGUUGGGGUUACACAUUGAAAUUAUUAUGUACUAACCAGGAAUGUCUAGUAAAUUUAAGUCAUUAACGUUCUUUGAAUGCGUCCCUGCCUUUUGUACACACCGCCCGUCGCUCCUACCGAUUGGAUAAGUUAGUGAAUAGAUUGGAUUAUGAGUGAACUUCCUAAAAUAUCAGUAAGGUUAGAAAUUUGUAAACUAGAUUAUUUAGAGGAAGGAGAAGUCGUAACAAGGUUUCCGUAGGUGAAUCUGCAGAAG
rnacentral:rRNA from 1 species